UCUUCCCCUAGGGGCAUUUCAGGUGUCACUACUGUGCCACAUGCCACAUGUCACAUGUCAGUAGGUUGCAGAGAGAGAGGCUAUAUCUAUACUCAGUGUUCUGAUUUAUGAGCAUAUGAAUGAACAAUAGCCUAAAUU